GCCAAGAUAGUUAACCAAACAUUAGGCUGUGACCCUAAAAACAGAGGCCUCAGCCUCUUCCUGGCC
rnacentral:tRNA from 1 species